rnacentral:rRNA from 1 species
GCUGGUGACCAUAGCUUUGUAGAACCACCUGAUCCCUUGCCGAACUCAGAAGUGAAAUGCAAAUGCGCCGAUGGUAGUGUGGGAGUUCCCAUGUGAGAGUAGGACAUUACCAGCA